AUCUUGCGAUUAGGAACUACAAUUCUAUCCAAUCCAUCCAUAAAAACACUCAUGUGCAUAAGGAAACUAAAGGUACAUUCUUUGUUACUAAACUAAGCUAGAAAUUGUACUGCCUGAUUGCAAAUUGCAGUCCUAUUAUGACCGCUCAAGUAAACUACCACGCUUUUUAUCAGGUUGACAAACUUGCAUCAUCUUCACGAUAGAGCCAGCUUAGAGACGUGGGGUCUCCGUCCUCAUCGCUGAUUUUUCGCAACUUUCAAGUUGGAUUCUGGUGAAUCAGCUUGCGUUUUGAUAGCGAAACAAUUCAUCGAGAGAUAACUGAUUGGUCACAAACUUAAUUGUUCUUCCGUGUGGUGUGGAGCUCCCGAUACUCUCUUCGGCUAUAAAAAUGCGCAAGGAGCUACGAUGUAUCGAUUGUUUUGUAUCGAUCCUAUUGAUUGCUGCAAGUUGUGCCCAUGGUCAUCAGUCAAAGAACCACUCAGAGAUUGAGAAUCCUGUGGUGGAGUUUUUAAACGCCAAGAAUGAACAGCCACUUCGCCAGAUCAAUGUCAAUGAGCACUUCGACCCGUUAAGCAACAAUCAGCUCAAAACAGAACUCUUCUCAACGGACAGUUGCGAGGUAAAGGAUGGCCAUUACAGCUGCUGUACCAUUCUCAGCUGGCAGCAAUGGAUGUUCGUGAGCCGGGGAGUGUUGAUGGAAUAAAAAUGACACAAAAAGCCAAUGAAUGAGGAUGAUAAGUAC
rnacentral:lncRNA from 1 species